UACGGGGGGGGCAAGCGUUGUUCGGAGUUACUGGGCGUAAAGGGCGCGUAGGCGGCCACCGCAAGUCGGUUGUGAAAUCUCUGGGCUUAACCCAGAAAGGUCAACCGAUACUGCGGGGCUAGAGUGCAGAAGGGGCAACUGGAAUUCUCGGUGUAGCGGUGAAAUGCGUAGAUAUCGGAAGGAACAUCAGUGGCGAAAGCGGCUCACUGGCCCGGUACUGACGCUGAGGUGCGAAAGCGUGGGGAGCAAACAGG
rnacentral:rRNA from 1 species